rnacentral:lncRNA from 1 species
GAAGGUCCAGCUAGAAAAAAUUACAAGAAAGAAUGCGCAUUUCUGCCAUUUCAUGGGGAUCUUGCCUAGGGAGCACAAGUGGUGUCUCUGUUCCCUGUGCGGCGAGCAGUCCCCAUUUUUGGUUCUGAAGAUCAGCGGUCUGUUCGGUUCAUCAGGAUUGAGCACCAGAGUCAUUCCAGCUUAUAAAGAUCCAACCGUGAAUUAUUCCAGGCGCUCAUUCCGGAGGAACCGAACGAGCCUUAAAGAAGCUGGCGACCCUGCAAAGCAAGCAAGAAUAAAACUGCGUGAACAACAACAUUUCGAUCAUGUACGUUUGAAUUCUAAAUAUUUUGCACUAUCAGGUUGCAGAAACCACAGCGAGGUAGAAAACAAUAGUGGAAUUUUCUUAGAAUUUGGUGAGAAGUCCCGAAAUUAAGUUAAGAGCCAAGGUGCAGACAACGAGAAAUUGUGUUGAUUCAGAACUCACCCGCAUCCAUGCAUCCUAGGCGCAGAGGAUGAACUUGCCGGAGGGCAAGGCCGCG